GGUGGCUCACUGGUAGAGUGCUUGCCUUGCAUGCAUGAGGCCCAAGGUUCAAUUCCUCAGCACCA
rnacentral:tRNA from 1 species